CAAUAGCGUAUAUUAAAGCUGUUGCGGUUAAAAAGCUCGUAGUUGGAUUUCUGUCAAGGACAACUGGUCCGCCCUCCGGGUGAGCACAUAGUUUGGUCUUGGCAUCUUGCUGGAAACUGUUGCUGCGCUUGGUUGUGUGGUGCAGCUUUCAGCACUUUCACUUUGAGGAAAUUGGAGUGUUUCAAGCAGGCACAUGCCUUUGGACACAGUAGCAUGGAAUAAUUAGACUGGGCUUUUGCUCCAACUUGUUGGUUCCUGGAGCUGAGGUGAGAAUCAAUGGGGAUUGUUGGGGGCAUCCGAAUUUAGCCGUCAGAGGUGAAAUUCUUGGAUCUGCUAAAGACGGACAACUGCGAAAGCGUUUGCCCAGGAUGUUUUCAUUGA
rnacentral:rRNA from 1 species